UCCCUGGUAGUAUAUCGGUUAGUACACGCGCCUGUCAUAUACAUGGGUUGUGCCAAGUUUAGCGGCGCGCGCGAAAGCGGGGUUCGACUCCCCGCCAGGGAG